GUAGGUGGCAAGCGUUAUCCGGAAUUAUUGGGCGUAAAGCGCGCGCAGGCGGUUUCUUAAGUCUGAUGUGAAAGCCCACGGCUCAACCGUGGAGGGUCAUUGGAAACUGGGGAACUUGAGUGCAGAAGAGAAAAGCGGAAUUCCACGUGUAGCGGUGAAAUGCGUAGAGAUGUGGAGGAACACCAGUGGCGAAGGCGGCUUUUUGGUCUGUAACUGACGCUGAGGCGCGAAAGCGUGGGGAGCAAACAGGGAUUAGAUACCCUGGUAGUCCACGCCGUAGACGAUGAGUGCUAAGUGUUAGAGGGUUUCCGCCCCUUUAGUGCUGCAGCUAACGCAUUAAGCACUCCGCCUGGGAGUACGGUCACAAGACUG
rnacentral:rRNA from 1 species